AACGAACGCUGGCGGCAGGCCUAACACAUGCAAGUCGAGCGGACAUCUUCGGAUGUUAGCGGCGGACGGGUGAGUAACGCGUGGGAACGUGCCCUUUGCUUCGGAAUAGCCUCGGGAAACUGGGAGUAAUACCGGAUGUACCCUUUGGGGGAAAGAUUUAUCGGCAAAGGAUCGGCCCGCGUUGGAUUAGGUAGUUGGUGGGGUAAUGGCCUACCAAGCCGACGAUCCAUAGCUGGUUUGAGAGGAUGAUCAGCCACACUGGGACUGAGACACGGCCCAGACUCCUACGGGAGGCAGCAGUGGGGAAUCUUAGACAAUGGGGAAACCCUGAUCUAGCCAUGCCGCGUGAGCGAUGAAGGCCUUAGGGUUGUAAAGCUCUUUCACCGGGGAAGAUAAUGACGGUACCCGGAGAAGAAGCCCCGGCUAACUCCGUG
rnacentral:rRNA from 1 species